GUGUGUUCGCCCUUUGCUAUUCUGGUUAAUAAAAACCACUCCCAAAAAAAACCGGCUUUUCUUACUCGAUCCCGCGGUCAUUCUCCUCUUGAAUAGCCAAACUUGCUGGUACCCAUCUGCAUUAAUGAAAAUGCUUAAAAUUACAAUUUAUUAAAGCCAGCUGAUUGACUUUCAACAUUCAAAUGGUUUUCGUUGAAAUUUAAAGCGAGUAAGGUUAACGAAAAGUUGUCGCCUGUUUAAGGUCAUACCAAUACGGGCAAAGUUUUUCAGUUUUCCCUGUGCAGCGAAGGUCAGUCUUGGGAACAAGUCGUUGCUAUCAGUCAACCAGAAUGUUCAAGCCAGUCGUUGACUGUAGCGCAGACAUUCGGGUUUUGUUACAUUUCAUUUCUAAAAAUCAUGCAAUCAGCAAAGAAAGGACUAAGGAAAACCAACAUUUUAGCUUGUAUUUUACUUCAUCCAGGGUUAACAUCAUGACAUAUUGGAUGUGCGUAUAAAUGUACAGCUUUAAUCAUUUUUUUUAAAGUCGGUGUUAUUAUAACACUAGAAGUUUUGCCCUUACAAGAACCUAGAGGAAAAGAAUCUGGUAUCACUAACUAGCGAGGACCCGAAACCUCCUCAGUCCUCCAAUUAGAAAUUGGGGAGGAGAUAGUCCGAGAAAAGUCAGAGGCGAACAGCCAUGACACCCGCACUGGACUUGGCUCGCUUCACAAUAUACCAGACUGUGGGGACUGCUUAGUUGGAUUCGAACUUUCAAUCGGUAAACACACUGCGAAGAAGCUGCUCGUCAUUUUUGAAUUUUGAACGACUUGAUUUCGAUUCUGGAGCCAAUUUUCCUACGCUAGCAGACACGAAGAUGCUGGUAUCACAAGGAUCCUGUUUCGAAAUUGCAUAUUGGGGAUGUCGGCAUUUGACCCAAAAUCUGGAACAUGUGCUCCAAACCAAAACCACGACGUGGUAGCACAGGUAAUAAGAUAAAUAUUUCAAAUUUCCCUACUAAAAUUGUCAAAAGAAAAUUAGAGCGUAGCUUCAUGAACUUUGGUUUCAGCUUAUUAUUUAAAUUGUUUUGCAUUAUUCAUACGUUCACGAUGAAUAUAAGGUUUCGAGUACUCGUUUGGUACGGAAAAGAGUGCCCAUCGUUCUAUAAAUAGAACAUCCAUACAUUUUAUGGUUAUUUCUACGCUCCACACGACCCUUCAAUGAAGACUUAGAAAUAUACUAUUUGUUAUCCAAUGUCUGACGCAGCUCUCGAAUUAAAAAAGAAAAUGGUAAUUGUUAUGUGGCAAUAUAGAGAGCUAAAUAUGAAUUAAAUUUAUCUUUUGAUUUUAAAAGUGACUUUUUCUUCUUCUUUGCAGGCAUCGUGGUGGCUGACAGCGCCACGAAAGGAUGUCCCACCCGUACAGCUUCAACUUAGACUUUGUUGAAAUAAUACGCUUCCCCUACACUAUCAUUGGGAAUCUCUCGAAAAUUCUUAGUUUACAUCUGGGUUAUGACUUUUGCAAGCGAUUGUCGCUUUCUCCCUAAAGUUUCAAAACAUGCAACAACAAAAAAAAAAAAAAGAGCAGAACAAGGAUGGCACACACACACACACAAAAAGAGAGGGGAGGGAAAAGAUUUGAAUUUCAAUCAUGUAAGCUUUAAUGAAUAGUGUCGACGUUGCUGUAGUAAUCUGAAGCUGGAUGUUUCUACCGAUAAAUCCGACUCGGGCUAUCGCUGCGACCUUGGUGACCUCUUUAACCCUGCCUCCCUCUUUUCUGCUGCCUAGUCCAGCAAUAGUUCGAUUGAGCUGCUGCUGGAGCCACUGAUAAGUAUAUAUUCAAAUUUCUUGCGGAGGGCGGUGGGGUGCAAGAGUGCGGGUCACGGACGCGAGCUCUUUUUAUUUUAUUUUAUCGUUUCUUUCGGCCUCCACGAUUGGUGGCAUCCGUUCAUUUUUGGAAGACUUGUAACUUCUUCUUAGCAGUUCAGCCAUCAAAAGUCAUUCCCUUGGCUGCCAUCUGCGACUCGACAACGAUUUUCUUUCUUAUCUGUUUGAGCAAAUACUGGAGGGAGCAUCAGGCCAAACGCAAUACUGUUUGUCCAGGAGGUAAUUUUUUUUUUUUUUUUUUUUUUGUUAAAUGUUUGGAGAAAGAAAAGAAGAACUGUGUCCCAUUUAUGAUCUUUUUUUUUUAAAAUGAUGUGCAAGCAAACUGUUUUAACCCAUUGGCCUGUGUGCAUUUCUCUAUCGUCUGGCCCGACAGGGUGUCUCGGAUCUGGUGCUUAGAUUAGCAGCUACGUCCAUCUUAACAGAUAGAAAAACGAAUUUUUCUUUUUAAAUUUCUUUUAUUAUUAGAUAUUUUUUAAUAGUUUAUAUAUACAUAAGUUUAAAAUGGUGCUCUGUUGUACAUAACGUGUUUUGAACGAAUCACCGUCUAACUGAGUAUCGGUUUCCAUCUUACCGGGCAGCAUUAGAUUGGCUUUGUAACAAGCACCAUGUGUUUCUAAUACUGUCAGGUAAAGAUGUCCUCCGUGCUUGUGAAUCAUCGUGGUCUCCAACUACAGAUUCAAUUUUUAGUUUUAAAUGUUUUUGUUUUUUUAAAACUUUGUACGAUAUUAUUCUUUUAUUUGCCAUGGAACACAAUGUUUCAGCUGGAAAUACACCCCUCAUUUUGCAGAAUUA
rnacentral:lncRNA from 1 species